GGGUCGGUGGCAGAGCGGUCAAAUGCACCAGACUGUAAAUCUGGCGGUUUACGCCUUCGGGGGUUCGAAUCCCUCCCGGCCCA
rnacentral:tRNA from 1 species